AAAAUUUUUCCUUGUUUUUCCUGCAAGAACCAUAUUUUUGGAAUUCAGGAGGGCAAGGCCUCAUAUUACUACGCUUAUUGUCGUCCUAACAGUGUAGAGGAUAUGUUGCUUACUGAAAAAACCCUCAUCCGUUUUCAGUAACCAACAAGCUGAUUGUAAGGCCUAUAUCUCCCAUUUCGGCUUUUCCAUUUUGAAUGAAUUGAAGGCACCUUUGGAUGACAUAAAGGAGGAAAUAGUACAAGUUGGCAAGGUGGAGGUUUUGCGUCUACUGGUGGCAUCUAUUGCUGGGGAUUCUGCUUUAACUGAUGUGUUUAUAAGGCAGCCCAAGAAAGAACAGUAAAGAGAUUUUCGUUAUCUGAAUAAACAAGGAUGAUGCUUAGGUUUCUACAAACCAGAAUUUCGAGAUGAAUAUGUAGUGUGCUUUGCAUUUUCUUAUGUUCUUUGAGCUAUGGCCUCCAUUGAAGGUUGCCUUUUGGUUACUUGUAGCCUAAGCCUAGU